UUACGGCCAUAUCACGUUGAAACAUCGGUUUUCGUCCGAUCACUGAAGUUAAGCAACGUCAAGCCUGAUCAGUACUGAGAUGGGUGAUCGCUUAGGAAUACCAGAUACUGUA